rnacentral:lncRNA from 1 species
CGGAAUCCACGAGAAGCGCAGUCGUCGGAGAAGAAGCCAAAGGGGAGGGGUUCUCGAAAACACGUCUGUUUAGUGUUUAGUGUUUGUGUUUGGUGACUUGUUUGGAAAUUGAAACAAGGGUGUUAACGUGUUUCGGGUCGAACAAUGUUCCAACCCUAAACCCGGCCCGAAACAUGUAUUCUGCUUGUUUCAUGUUUGUUACCCGAACACGAAACACGUUUUAUAUUUGUUUCGUGUUCGGGUCGGGUCGGGUCGGGUCGGGUUUUUUUGACAUCCCUAAUUGUUACUGCUUUGCACCUCUGAAAUGUAAGGGCCAUCGCCGAAGGUCGUGACAAUCGCGAAAAAGGAGAGAGUCAUAAAGAGGAGCUUUUUAGCAUCGAAGGAACUCCUUGCAGAAGCCAUUAGAAAGGGUUUUGGGAAAAGGCGAGUGUGAGUUUGUAAGAG